rnacentral:rRNA from 1 species
GUAGGUGGCAAGCGUUGUCCGGAAUUAUUGGGCGUAAAGCGCGCGCAGGCGGUUCUUUAAGUCUGAUGUGAAAGCCCACGGGCUCAACCGUGGAGGGUCAUUGGAAACUGGAGAACUUGAGUACAGAAGAGGAAAGCGGAAUUCCACGUGUAGCGGUGAAAUGCGUAGAGAUGUGGGGAACACCAGUGGCGGAGGCGGCUUUCUGGUCUGUAACUGACGCUGAGGCGCGAAAGCGUGGGGAGCAAACAGGAUUAGAUACCCUGGUAGUCCACGCCGUAAACGAUGAGUGCUAAGUGUUAGGGGGUUUCCGCCCCUUAGUGCUGCAGCUAACGCAUUAAGCACUCCGCCUGGGGAGUACGGCCGCAAAGGCUG